rnacentral:rRNA from 1 species
AUGUGGAACUUUAUUGUUGUCGGGGCCUCAACAGCUUCAGCGCAUCCUUCAGUGCCAAGAUGGAUGUCCUCGCUCUCCUCUCUGUCGCACCUUGUGAUCUCCUUGUACACACUGGGGGAGGAAGACCUUCAUGUCCUAGGUUGCAUACCAUCCCUCCGUCAUCUCGACAUGAGUGUGUUCGGAGCCACACGUCGGCAGAGACAAGGAUGGCCCGUCAUCGAUGCUGUUAGCUACCCAUUCAGGUGUCUAACAGAGUUGAGAUAUGCUCACAAUGCGGAGGUGGUUUUUGCAUCUGGAGCCAUGCCGAAGCUCCGGAUCCUGGAGCUGCAUAUCGGAGCGCGGGAUACCAUGCAUCAGUCUGGCUAUUUUGACUUGGGCUUGGAGAACCUCUGUUCGCUUCAGCAGGUAAUUAUCAAUCUGGAAUGUUACGAGGCUCAGCCGGAGGAGAUGGAGGCCAGGGAGGCUGCAUUCCGUAAAGCGGUCCAGAUGAAUCCCAACAACCCCACACUCAACUUGAAUAAGUGGUAA